GCUACUGCAAGGAGGGGAACAAGUAGCAGCGCCUGCACCUGCAAAGAGAGCCUCUGUCCGGUGAAAAGAGGAGAGGAGCGCCGCUGCGAAUACAUCCCGGAGCAGCCGUCCCAACGCCCUUCAGGGGCCAGUAGGCACGGUCGGGUCCGCCCGUUACAGCGGCGGAGUGUGAUGGCACUCCAUGAGGCCGCCUUCCGUGAGGGAGCGGCGAAGCUGAGGUGGUACAGCGAUGAUACAUCGCCCUCUGU
rnacentral:ncRNA from 1 species